UAGCUUCUGCUGUUGUUGUGGAGUUGAACAAUUUGGCUGGUGAAGUGUUAAAGCCCUCCAAUAUUUCGGUUUCGGGUCUUCUAGUCUUCAAAGGCUGUUAUGCUGAAAGUACCAGUGGUAGUUUGUCUUGAAGGCACAAACGUGAUCAGAAAAGAGCACGACUUCACUCUUUUGUUCAACUUCUAAGUCCAAGGCGUUUACCAGACACUAUGUAAAAGAAAAAAAGUUUUUAUUUUUAUUUUUUAUAGAAGAAGAAACUAAACUCAAAGUCUGACACUUCAACUUUGGGGAGUGUCAAAGUUCACAUCUUUCCUGGUUGUGUUAAAUUGAGGUACUUUUGAUGAUCUCUCUUCAUUUUACCUUCUGGGUAUUCCUUUAUUUUGGUAAACAAGUUGUGUGUAUCUUUGAAAAUCAGCAGCUAUUUCAUGGUUUAGUUGUGGGUCUCUGUGUCUUAGAGUUUCAUGGGUUUUGAAUGAUUUUUGGAGUUUUUGUGUGUUUUGGGUGUAACUGAUUGGUGAAUUGUAAAAAGGGUCUUAAUUUAAUUUGAGUUAUGGUGUACUUUUUAAAAGGAGACUAGUUUGGAAAUACUGAGAAAAUUGGAUAUGGAAUUUUAGCGGUUACUUUUCUUUUC